rnacentral:lncRNA from 1 species
CGGAGCGCAGAAUCCCGCCUCCGAUUGGAUUUGGCCCAAUGGGAUACAAGGAAAGGUCAAGUCCCGCCUCCCAGGCAGACACCGCCCAAUGGGAGCCUUCGGGGUGGGGCCGCGGGGGCCCGGGGCGCGGAGGCCUGGGAGCUGCGGCUGAACGGAGCCCUUCGCGGCUGCAGGGCCUGCUGCGGGCGGCGCGCUGCGGGAGCCGGCGGUAGGGGGCCCUGUUGAGCCUUCCGAGCCAGCCGACCGCGGCCUCUAACGCCCAGCGCCGCAGACCAGCCGGCGGCUUGACCUCCCGGGAGACUGAGGCCGAGUGUUGCACUUCCACCGCUGGAGGCCUGACACUUGGGCGCUGAGUAGUGAGGAGACUGGAUUGUGUAGACCCCUCCCCUUCACCCCAACCCACCGCCCCCAAACUGUGGCCUCUAUUAUGAGGCCCUUUGUGACCACUUCCUGGAGCCGGGCUGGAGAGGCCUGGGGAGCUGGAGUCUGAGAAGACGGAACGCCUGGCAUAGGGUAAUCUUUACACCCAAUGUGGGGCUCGAACUCACGACCCUGAGAUGAAGAAUCAUGCUCCAAUGACUGAGCCUGCCAGGUGCCCUAGUCUGUGAGCCUUUUUAUUCUAUGACUUCUGGGAUGACUUCCUGGUACUGCACCAGCAGGCUACUAUAGCAUCAAGGUCAUUCCCCACACCACAACCCAGCUCUGACUUGACCAGGUAUACUCUGUGAUAGAACUUCAUUGCUCUUUCCCAGCUCAGUGCUGGGCAAGCUCCUUAGGAAUCUCAAACUACUUGGAGGACUAGCCUUUCUUAUGGUGCUGCAAGGAGAGCAUGGGGCUUCUCAUGCCAGGCCAUGGUCCCAGAGCUUGGGAGAAGCUGACUCUCAGACUGAAUGUCAGAGCUCAGCACCUUAUCAUCAUGCCAAGGACCUGAUGAAGCAGAACAAUUACAACAAAGGAGUUUUGGCAUUUCAGAGUCACAUGGCCUCCAGACACUGGUAGUUUGUGAGUCGCUAGGGAACCAGAGCAUCGGAGAACACAGGCCAGGACUUCUCAGCAUGUGGGAGUUUUUCCACUCCAGCAAGAGCAAGCCGAGAAAAAAGCAGAACUGCAUGUGGGGAGAAGAGGAAAGAGCAAGGCUUCCUGACCCAGAGCUGCAUCUACUCUCUUCAGAAAUACCUGGGAGCUGGGGUGGGGCCCGGACUCGGUUGGAGUGACAAGUGUGGACUGAUCAGUGUCAGAGGGAGGGGAGGGGGGAUGGGGAGACCCGGCUAAGCAGGCCUCUCAGCCAACCACUCCUUCAUUACUUCCAUCAUAUUACCUGCGCCCUUUCUGAGCAUACUUCCCUGGCUGACCAGCCUAGCCAUUCUGCUUGCCUUCUCUCCCAUGUAUUUGGUGAACCCUUUCUCUACCUGGUCUUCAAGGGCUCUCCACCAGGGCUUAGCACUCAAGAGCACUCAGGGUAGGGCAUGGCCUGUAUGGAUGCAUGCAUGACAUUUUGGCCAGACUAGAGGCAGCAAGUUCCCUGGUCCAGGCCUUUUGGUCUCCUUUCCACUGCUCCUCCCUGUCCCACUAGUGUGUGUGACUCUCUGUAAAGCCCCUGGAAAGGAGCCCAUCCCAACACGUGGGGCCCUUGCCUCUGUCCUCCAGCAGUACUGC